AUUGCACGCUGGCGGCAGGCCUAACACAUGCAAGUCGAGCGAGCGGCGGACGGGGGAGUAAUGUCUGGGAAACUGCCUGAUGGAGGGGGAUAACUACUGGAAACGGUAGCUAAUACCGCAUACCAUCAGAUGUGCCCAGAUGGGAUUGGCUAGUAGGUUGGGUAACGGCUCAACUAGGCGACGAUCCCUAGCUGGUCUGAGAGGAUGACCAGCCACCCUGGAACUGAGUCACGGUCCAGACUCCUAGGGGAGGCAGUAGUGGGGAAUAUUGCACAAUGGGCGCAAGCCUGAUGCAGCCAUGCCGCGUGUGUGAAGAGGGCCUUAGGGUUGUAAAGCACUUUCAGCGGGGAGGCGUUACCCGCAGAAGAAGCACCGGCUAACUCCGUGCCAGCAGCCGCGGUAAUUC
rnacentral:rRNA from 1 species